UAUCGCUCUAAGAUGGACUUGCGUCUGAUUAGUUAGUUGGUGGGUUAACGGCCUACCAAGACAGCGAUCAGUAGCCGGCUUGAGAGAGUGUACGGCCACAUUGGGACUGAGACACGGCCCAGACUCCUACGGGAGGCAGCAGUGGGGAAUUUUGCACAAUGGGGGAAACCCUGAUGCAGCGACGCCGCGUGAUUUAGAAGGCCUUCGGGUUGUAAAAAUCUUUUCUAUGGGAAGAAAAUGACAGUACCAUAGGAAUAAGGACCGGCUAAUUACGUGCCAGCAGCCGCGGUAAUACGUAAGGUCCGAGCGUUGUCCGGAAUCAUUGGGCGUAAAGGGUACGUAGGCGGGUAAGCAAGUUAGAAGUGAAAUCCUAUAGCUCAACUAUAGUAAGCUUUUAAAACUGCUCAUCUUGAGGUAUGGAAGGGAAAGUGGAAUUCCUAGUGUAGCGGUGAAAUGCGCAGAUAUUAGGAGGA
rnacentral:rRNA from 1 species